rnacentral:rRNA from 1 species
UACGUAGGGGGCGAGCGUUAUCCGGAUUCACUGGGUGUAAAGGGAGCGUAGACGGCCAAGCAAGCCAGGGGUGAAAGCCCGGGGCCCAACCCCGGGACUGCCCUUGGAACUGCAUGGCUGGAGUGCGGGAGGGGCAGGCGGAAUUCCUGGUGUAGCGGUGAAAUGCGUAGAUAUCAGGAGGAACACCGGCGGCGAAGGCGGCCUGCCGGACUGCGACUGACGUUGAGGCUCGAAAGCGUGGGGAGCGAACAGG